ACGCGCGGAACCUUACCAGGUCUUGACAUCCCAUUGACCGCUAUGGAGACAUAGCUUUCCCUUCGGGGACAGUGGUGACAGGUGGUGCAUGGUUGUCGUCAGCUCGUGUCGUGAGAUGUUGGGUUAAGUCCCGCAACGAGCGCAACCCUUGUUCUUAGUUGCCAUCAUUUAGUUGGGCACUCUAAGGAGACUGCCGGUGACAAACCGGAGGAAGGUGGGGAUGACGUCAAAUCAUCAUGCCCCUUAUGACCUGGGCUACACACGUGCUACAAUGGACGGUACAAACGGUUGCCAACCCGCGAGGGGGAGCUAAUCCGAUAAAACCGUUCUCAGUUCGGAUUGUAGGCUGCAACUCGCCUACAUGAAGCCGGAAUCGCUAGUAAUCGCGGAUCAGCAUGCCGCGGUGAAUACGUUCCCGGGCCUUGCACUCACCGCCCGU
rnacentral:rRNA from 1 species